rnacentral:rRNA from 1 species
UACGAAGGGGGCUAGCGUUGCUCGGAAUCACUGGGCGUAAAGCGCACGUAGGCGGAUCUUUAAGUCAGAGGUGAAAUCCUGGAGCUCAACUCCAGAACUGCCUUUGAUACUGGGGAUCUUGAGUCCGGAAGAGGUUAGUGGAACUGCGAGUGUAGAGGUGAAAUUCGUAGAUAUCGCAAGAACACCAGUGGCGAAGGCGGCUAACUGGUCCGGUACUGACGCUGAGGUGCGAAAGCGUGGGGAG